GAUCAGCUAGGGGAGGAACUCUUAGCCUGGCACAGAGCACGUCUCCAGGAUGGGGCACCUGCUUUCCACACCUGAGAAUGUGAUGCAAACUGCAUCUCCCAGAAAGAGCUAGGCCUGUCUUAUACAUUUUGUACGACUGAUGAACUAUGGAGAGCUGGGAUGUUACAGGCUGGGGUCCGAACUGAUCUGGAGUCAUCGUUAGUCCUCUGAGUGGCUGUCUGUUGCCCACCUCUGUGUGUGACCUAACACCUUUAUGACUAGUAGAAGCUUCCGUGGAAUUGUCACCAUGUUGGGAUGUGGUAUUUGGGGAAAGCCAAUUCUAUGUCCCCACACCAGUCACUCAUCCCUGGCUCUAGAAUAAACUCUCUCAUUCCCUUUGA